rnacentral:rRNA from 1 species
UUAAAUUGAAGAGUUUGAUCAUGGCUCAGAUUGAACGCUGGCGGCAGGCCUAACACAUGCAAGUCGAGCGGAAACGAGUUAUCAGAACCUUCGGGGGACGAUAA